rnacentral:hammerhead_ribozyme from 1 species
AUCCAGCUAACGAGUCCCAAAUAGGACGAGAUGCGCGUCCCGGAU